ensembl:lncRNA
AUGAAAAAAAAAUUCUUACCUUGCUUCUUUGGUGAAAUUACUGAAGAAAUCAACCACAACAACUACAGACAGAAACAGAGGUGGAAAAAUCUUACUUUUCACCCAUUAAUGGGGGAAAAAACCACCCUUCACCUCCAAAUCGGAUACAGCCAAGGCCUGAAACCCUUAAGACACAAGAAGAAAUUGCAGGCUUUGGAAGAGAAGACACCAGAAGGAUGUUACCCCCCGCACCAAUGGAUUACAAGAAAGAAUUAUGUCUGUCCAUCCAGCAAAUGAGAAAUACAGGUGACAGCAAAAUAAAAGGCCCCAAACACCCAAGACCCUAUUCCCCUAAGGGUAGCAUGAAAUAAUCAUUGGUGUUCUAUAAGAUAUUGCAUGAAUAAAUGAAAAACAAAACUAAAAAUUCGUGAUGAACAAGUGACCUGCGCAACAUUUGAUUUUCCUUACUUGCCUACAUUUGUGUUGUACUGCUUCUAGCUAUUUUAUGUAGCUUUGAGUGGUUCCUAAACAUUUGUAUUUCACAGAAUAGUAAAAAUUCAAGAACAAAUUUGAAGGCUGAUAUACACUUUCCAUUGUUUUUUUUUUAGUAGAUUUUUAAAGUACCAAUUACUACAACAUCGCUCUACAAAAAUAUAUAUAUUUCAUCCACCCCAAAUCCCAUAAUAUCAGGAUUUUAAAAUUGAAGAAAUUUAACUGUUGAAACAUCCUUUUUACUCUCAUUAUUUCUGUCAUUUUGCACAGACAAGUUUUAACUGGGGUUUGGGAGACACUUCUCUAUGCUUUAGUCUAAACUAGACUCUAAACAGUCUCUGCAUGAAGAAACCCUCAUCUCUCAGAUACACAAAGCCAUUAACACUAUUAUGGUGCAUAAUGAAGUUGAUGCAUGUGAAAUUGCCAAUAUUCGACCAUUUUGACCUGUUAAAAAAAUGAAAAUGUCAUAUAGCUGAACCUAAUAUCGUGAUCUUUUUGUCUGUCCUUGACCAUUUUAUAAUGUCAAAUAAAUGUUAGAACUAUGACAAAUGUAUUCACAGCAAUUCUGGGGAAUUAUAUCUUAUCUAAAGAAAGCAUUUAGUAAUUCUCCACACAUGAACAAGUGUUCGAGAAAAGAUUUUACUAAGUGCUCCUUAUCAUAUUUUGUGCAAUUCUGAGAAUCUAUAUUGGGGCAAAGGGGGCUAUUAAAAUGCUAAACCUUUUAAAUAUCAAAUCUUUAAUUAUAUUCAUUACAACAAAUCAGCCUUUCGCCAAAUUAACUCAAGAUUAUCAGGUACAUACCACAGUGUUCAGCGCGUAAUAAACUUUUAGUAAAGGUUAGUUAGUGUCUUAGGGAUGGCUUGGUUACAGAGAGAGGAAACUUUUUCAUCCAAGUUAAGAAACAGAAGUUUGCUAUAUAAGGAGUUGGGGGACUCUCACAGAACCCAUCCUAAGAAGGGGCAAGCAUCAUGGGAAUAGAAAUGUCAGGCAGCUACUUUUUCCACAUUUUCUGCCAACGGUUUGAUCUCUCCCCUCCUCUGCCCAUAUUGCUUCUCUCUACAGAAUUCUAAUUCCUAUUUUCCCAUAACAUUGUCUUGCAACACUGGUUAUAAGACCACACAGAGAAAAUAAGCCUCUCCCCAGUCCCAAACUCUUGCUUUAGCCCAUAAAACUGGACAUUUUCCCUGUUUCAAGAGUAUUGGGAAGGAAGUGUAUCUUCUCUUUACCCUCUUCCUACACUUGUUUUCCUGAGCAGGACCGAUCUGACUGGUGAGGCUGAACAGAGCAUCUUUGGACAUACAGAAUCCAGGAAUUUUUUUAAUUCUCUUUCUUUUGGGGUCUGCCCUUCCUACAUGCCUUGGGUGUUCUCUCUCCAACAAGGUGAUAUGAUAUCCAUACAGAAUGCUUAUUCUGGCAGGUCUUGCUUUCAACAGGAAUGGAUAAGGGGAUGCCUGUGAAAUUAUAGCUGCUCCUUCUGCUCCUAGAAGAAAACUUCAACUACAGAGGUAAGAGGUAAGAAGCCAGCCAAUUUUGGUCUUGAAUCCAGGUGAUUUUCCAACUCAGAUUUACUAAUAGCAAAGCUGAUAUUUUGGUACCACUGAAGUCAUGAAUCUUUUUCUUUAGUAUAACUACUUGAUUCAUUCAUUCCCUAACAACAGCUCUGGGGCCUCCAGCUGUCCAACUCAGUUCCUAUAGCUAUUAGUUCAAACAAAGGAGAGUGAGAUAAUUUAAUUGGUUCUGGUUAAAUCAACUGUCCAUCCCUGUUGUGGGCAGAUACUCCAGUUAUAGCCAAAGGGGUAAGUGUACUUCAGCCUAGGUCUCCUUCUAUAGGAGAAAAUGGGAAAAUUCCAAAGAAGGUAAGUUGGGUAGACACACUGAAAAUCAAAGUACUAUUUUGAUUUCUAACAUUUCAGGGCUCUAAAAUAGCAUUCACCAAUAAACCCAUUACUAUUUAAUAAGUUCCACAUAUUGCAUUCAGUGACAGGAUGGCUCUCAAUUUGACAAAUAUAAGACAUUUCUACCCAAACCACAUUUAAAGAUACUGGAUAUUUUUUUACUUUUAUUGCAAUGUGUUCCUGAAAAUUACAUCAUAAAGUGGGUUGCCAUUGAGCAAACUAGAAAAACAACAUAGUAAGUAUGAGGUGUAGGCCAUUGAGUAUAUUACAGCCAUGUACAGUGCAUAAAACUUCAAAAUUGAUUGACUUCCUGAUCCUUAUCUCCAAAAUUGAAGUUAUCCACCCAAUAGCAAGCAGAGCAGCUAGAAAUUUCUAGGCUUCUCUCCACAGAGACCUGCCAUGAUGAAGACUUCAAAGACAGAAUGAUUAUACAAAGUAGUCUCCAGUCAAUUAAAAUCAUGCUUCAAAUCUGAUAAACAGGUAUCAUAUUCUCCAGUAUAUUAUUAGCAUAUAAAUACACAAUUCUAAAUCAUGCUACAUAUAAAUAACUAAAUUUAUAGCUUCAAAUUUUAACAUAAAGCUAGUAUGCAAAUGAUAAUAUACAUUAAAUAUUUAAUUUAAAUUAUUGUUGCUUGUAAUUUUGUAAUUUAUAAGGACAGAAGUGUGUUGGUUUGAUUAGCCCAGGACUCUUUGAAGAAGCUGCACAUGUGAGUUGAAACUGGGGUUUUCUUUUUCUUUCAACAAAUUCCAAUAAAGCUAGCAGAGAAAUUCAAAAUCAUUCUACUGACCUUGGAGAUGAACUCAAAGCAUUAAGCCCAGAGGUCAGUAGAGGAUUGUUGUUGAUGCUAAUGAUAGGGCUUCUCUGAGUAGAAAGCAUUUUAAAAGUCAAGGAUGACCCAACAUUUCUUUCCUUCACCUCUUACCACUACUGAAACUUAUUUACAAGGUACUACACACCAGACACUUCUUAAUUGUGUACUGAAUUGAAUUCAAAACUUCAAAUGUAGCUCUACAUAACAAAACUAAUGGUGCCACCAGGAAAAAUAAAUCAUCCACUCUCACUCCUCUUCUGCGUUCUUGACAUUUGUUACCAAGAAUCAGAUACCUUCAUACAGGACUGCCAUUAACAAUUACCAGGUCACAAAUAACACUCUGUAUUAUUUAGGGUAGGCUAACUGCCAUAAUCAAGAGACCCAAAUAAACUUUGACCAUCGCUGUAUAUUUUUUGCUCACAUAAGAGUCAGGAAGCAUAACAGUCAGUAGGUCAGCUCUCCUAUAGUCAGGAUCAUUGAAGAAUCAGACUUCGUCCAUUUGUGGCUCUGCCAAGUACAUGAGCCCUUAUGUUCAUCUGAAUCCAGCUAUCAGAAGGAAAAAGAUAGUGGGAGAAAUCUGCCUGGAAAGUUUGUAUGGGGUAGCCUGGAAAGUGACAAUUAUUGCCUCUAGUCCAUUCGUUGGCCAGAACUCAAAUCUCCUGGCCAAACUCAACAGCAUGGAAAGCUAGAAAAAGUCUAGCUUCAGAUCCAGGAAAAAAAAAAAUGAUUUUAAUGAAGACCUAAGGUCUCUACCAUAUUCCUUUUUAAAACGAGCAUUAAAAUAAGGAUAAUAAACUCAAGAGUCUAAAACAACCAGUUAAGAAACAUAUAAGAAAAAGGUCCUGGUGCAACUGUCCAAAACUAGAGAACAUUCCAUGCCUAAAGGGACAGGCACUAUUUGAAUCCAGCAAAUUGUCAUCACAAAAAAUGGGAACAUAGUAUUAUAGAUCUAAUUUUUCAAGAGAAGGCAGGAAUCUAGAAUUUUUAUGUUAAUUCUUAUUAUAAUAUUAAGAUGUUAACAAUUAUUUAAUGUUUUAAGAAAUAAUAUGCAAGUUACACAAAUAUUUCUGCAUGUCCUAUUUUACUCAAAGCAUGUAAAUUGUAAACUGCUUUAAAAUAUAUAACAAAGCUCUAAAAACAUAACUGUUUUUUAAAAAAAAGCACGACUUAGUAUCCUAAUACAUAUUUGCAGAGGUUGAGUUAAUAAAAGAACAAAUGAACUUCAGAAUGGAGGCACGAGUAUUAAUUAAGCAGCAUUAAUUAAUAGUGAUUAUUGGUAGUAAUAUUAAUUACUAGUUAUUAACAAAAAUUAUUAGGUAGUAUUAAUUAACUACCAUGUGCUACAAGGAUAUCACAACUUAGAAAGUAACCAAAGUCAGGGACUGCCUGUGCCUUUAUAAAUCCUCUAAAUAACUAGAAGAAUCACAAGUAGACUCAAUCGUAUUUCUUAGUUUAUUAACUGCUUAGAAAUUAGGCUUUGAUUUAUUUGUUCAUUUAACAAAUGCUCACUGUAUGUACAAGAUACUGUGUUAGCUGCUGCAGAGAAAAGCAUUCUGAUUAAACUCUUCCCUUGGGGAAUUUGCAUUUAAUAAGGAAAUAGUAUAAGAAUAUAACUAGCUAUAAUAUGAGGUCAAAAGUAAAAAAGCCAUAUGACUGUUGAGUUCAGACACAAAAGAGAAUGUAUAUCACUGAGAUGAUCAAAAAUGGCUUCCUGAGGCAACUUGUAUUUGACGGUGAAAUUGGGAUAUGUAAAAAUGGGAGGUAAGGAUGUCAUGAAAAAAAAAAGCAUUAACCAAGACAUGUAACUUGGAAAAGUAAAGGUGUGCAUUAGGGUGGUGGGUGGCUGGAACACGAGGUAUCUUAAGGCGACAAGUACGAUCUAUAAUAGUUUAAUUUUUUAGCCCUUCAGUAAUUUGUAAAAUCCUUGAAGCUUAUUAGUGGAGAUAUUUCCCUCCAAAUGGGACGAAUCUAUAACAAAACUCAGCCAAUAGCUUAUAGAAAGCAGGUAAAAUUUUACUGAUAUAAAUUC